UGCUUUCAAAUGAACUUAGCGGCGGACGGGUGAGUAACACGUAGGCAACCUGCCCUUUAGUCUGGGAUAACUACCGGAAACGGUAGCUAAUACCGGAUAAUUCCUUCUGGCUCCUGCCGGAGGGAUGAAAGACGGAGCAAUCUGUCACUAAGGGAUGGGCCUGCGGCGCAUUAGCUAGUUGGUGAGGUAACGGCUCACCAAGGCGACGAUGCGUAGCCGACCUGAGAGGGUGAACGGCCACACUGGGACUGAGACACGGCCCAGACUCCUACGGGAGGCAGCAGUAGGGAAUCUUCCGCAAUGGGCGAAAGCCUGACGGAGCAACGCCGCGUGAGUGAUGAAGGUUUUCGGAUCGUAAAGCUCUGUUGCCAGGGAAGAACGUCCGGUAGAGUAACUGCUACCGGAGUGACGGUACCUGAGAAGAAAGCCCCGGCUAACUACGUGCCAGCAGCCGCGGUAAUACGUAGGGGGCAAGCGUUGUCCGGAAUUAUUGGGCGUAAAGCGCGCGCAGGCGGCUACUUAAGUCUGGUGUUUAAACCAUGGGCUCAACCUGUGGUCGCACUGGAAACUGGGUGGCUUGAGUACAGAAGAGGAAAGUGGAAUUCCACGUGUAGCGGUGAAAUGCGUAGAGAUGUGGAGGAACACCAGUGGCGAAGGCGACUUUCUGGGCUGUAACUGACGCUGAGGCGCGAAAGCGUGGGGAGCAAACAGGAUUAGAUACCCUGGUAGUCCACGCCGUAAACGAUGAGUGCUAGGUGUUAGGGGUUUCGAUACCCUUGGUGCCGAAGUUAACACAGUAAGCACUCCGCCUGGGGAGUACGGUCGCAAGACUGAAACUCAAGGGAAUUGA
rnacentral:rRNA from 1 species